GGCCCUACGGGGCGCAGCAGUAGGGAAUUUUCGUCAAUGGGCGCAAGCCUGAACGAGCAAUGCCGCGUGAACGAGGAAGGUCUUCGGAUCGUAGAGUUCUGUUGAAGGGGAAAAAGAACGGAGAGAGGAAAUGAACUCCGAUUGAUAUUACCCUUCGAGGAAGUCACGGCUAACUACGUGCCAGCAGCCGCGGUAAUACGUAGGUGGCGAGCGUUAUCCGGAAUGAUUGGGCGUAAAGGGUGCGUAGGCGGCCUGCUAAGUCUGGAGUGAAAGCCUUCGGCUCAACCGGAGACUUGCAUCAGAAA
rnacentral:rRNA from 1 species